rnacentral:rRNA from 1 species
GAUGAGAGGAGCUUGCUCCUGGAUUCAGCGGCGGACGGGUGAGUAAUGCCUAGGAAUCUGCCUGGUAGUGGGGGACAACGUUUCGAAAGGAACGCUAAUACCGCAUACGUCCUACGGGAGAAAGCAGGGGACCUUCGGGCCUUGCGCUAUCAGAUGAGCCUAGGUCGGAUUAGCUAGUUGGUGAGGUAAUGGCUCACCAAGGCGACGAUCCGUAACUGGUCUGAGAGGAUGAUCAGUCACACUGGAACUGAGACACGGUCCAGACUCCUACGGGAGGCAGCAGUGGGGAAUAUUGGACAAUGGGCGAAAGCCUGAUCCAGCCAUGCCGCGUGUGUGAAGAAGGUCUUCGGAUUGUAAAGCACUUUAAGUUGGGAGGAAGGGUUGUAGAUUAAUACUCUGCAAUUUUGACGUUACCGACAGAAUAAGCACCGGCUAACUCUGUGCCAGCAGCCGCGGUAAUACAGAGGGUGCAAGCGUUAAUCGGAAUUACUGGGCGUAAAGCGCGCGUAGGUGGUUCGUUAAGUUGGAUGUGAAAUCCCCGGGCUCAACCUGGGAACUGCAUUCAAAACUGUCGAGCUAGAGUAUGGUAGAGGGUGGUGGAAUUUCCUGUGUAGCGGUGAAAUGCGUAGAUAUAGGAAGGAACACCAGUGGCGAAGGCGACCACCUGGACUGAUACUGACACUGAGGUGCGAAAGCGUGGGGAGCAAACAGGAUUAGAUACCCUGGUAGUCCACGCCGUAAACGAUGUCAACUAGCCGUUGGGAGCCUUGAGCUCUUAGUGGCGCAGCUAACGCAUUAAGUUGACCGCCUGGGGAGUACGGCCGCAAGGUUAAAACUCAAAUGAAUUGACGGGGGCCCGCACAAGCGGUGAGCAUGUGGUUAAUUCGAAGCACGCGAAGAACUUACCAGGCUUGACAUCAAUGAACUUUCCAGAGAUGGAUUGGUGCCUUCGGAGCAUUGAGACAGUGCUGCAUGCUGUCGUCAGCUCGUGU